AAAAAUAUCUAAGAUUUUAUUAGCAAAUAGCAUUAAAAUAUUUAUAAAGUGUUAGAUUUUUAUUGUAUAAGUUAGAUUUUUUAAUAGAUAAUCCAUGUAUAUAUAUAAGGAUAUGCUUGUGGUUUGGUAAUUUCCCUAUCUUCUCUCCCCUGCGUCUUUUCUCUUCUCUCCAUCUUCACCACUCAUCGAUUUACUGCAGCCAUCAAGUGCUAGGAGCGGCGCAUCCAAGGCUCGAGGAGGACAACCGAAGCAAGCUUGAAGAGGUUUGAAUUCAAUCACUUAAGGUUAAGGAGUUGACGGCAAGACGGCAGACAUGGAGCUCCACAUUCUCCCGUUCUAUUAUAUGAUGAAGUAUUAUAUGUUGCUGUUUUUGGUAAAUAUAUCUUGCUACUAACCAACUUAGCCUCUUCCAAUUUUGGUGGGUCGAGACUUUAUAUAUAUUGGUUUAUGAUCAUGCAUUUUGAUGACGGCUGUGACCGAAUAUAUAUAUUUUGUUUACCAUAUGUGUAGUUACGAGCUGUGCCUCGAACACGUUAAUUAUACUUUUAAACUUGAUGGUUUUGUAUGUACUCCAUCUUUUUAUAUAUAUAAAUAUGAUGCUUAGAUAAA